GAUGAACGCUGGCGGCGUGCCUAAUACAUGCAAGUCGAGCGAACAGACGAGGAGCUUGCUCCUCUGACGUUAGCGGCGGACGGGUGAGUAACACGUGGAUAACCUACCUAUAAGACUGGGAUAACUUCGGGAAACCGGAGCUAAUACCGGAUAAUAUAUUGAACCGCAUGGUUCAAUAGUGAAAGACGGUUUUGCUGUCACUUAUAGAUGGAUCCGAGCCGCAUUAGCUAGUUGGUAAGGUAACGGCUUACCAAGGCGACGAUGCGUAGCCGACCUGAGAGGGUGAUUGGCCACACUGGAACUGAGACACGGUCCAGACUCCUACGGGAGGCAGCAGUAGGGAAUCUUCCGCAAUGGGCGAAAGCCUGACGGAGCAACGCCGCGUGAGUGAUGAAGGUCUUCGGAUCGUAAAACUCUGUUAUUAGGGAAGAACAAAUGUGUAAGUAACUAUGCACGUCUUGACGGUACCUAAUCAGAAAGCCACGGCUAACUACGUG
rnacentral:rRNA from 1 species